UACGUAGGGGGCAAGCGUUGUCCGGAUUUAUUGGGCGUAAAGAGCGUGUAGGCGGCCAGAUAGGUCCGUUGUGAAAACUGGAGGCUUAACCUCCAGCUGUCGAUGGAAACCAUCUGGCUAGAGUCCGGAAGAGGAGAGUGGAAUUCCUGGUGUAGCGGUGAAAUGCGCAGAUAUCAGGAAGAACACCCGCGGCGAAGGCGGCUCUCUGGGACGGUACUGACGCUGAGACGCGAAAGCGUGGGAAGCGAACAGG
rnacentral:rRNA from 1 species